rnacentral:rRNA from 1 species
UACGGAGGAUGCAAGCGUUAUCCGGAAUGAUUGGGCGUAAAGCGUCCGCAGGUGGCUGUGUAAGUCUGCUGUCAAAGAGCGAAGCUCAACUUCGUAAAGGCAGUGGAAACUACACGGCUAGAGUGCGUUCGGGGCAGAGGGAAUUCCUGGUGUAGCGGUGAAAUGCGCAGAUAUCAGGAGGAACACCGGUGGCGAAGGCGGGUCUCUGGGCCGAUACUGACGCUGGAGGAGCGAAAGCGUGGGGGAGCGAACAGG